UACAGAGGUCUCAAGCGUUGUUCGGAUUCAUUGGGCGUAAAGGGUGUGUAGGUGGCGCGCUAAGUCGGGGUGUGAAAUUUCGGAGCUUAACUCCGAAACUGCAUUCGAUACUGGCGUGCUUGAGGACUGGAGAGGAGACUGGAAUUCAUGGUGUAGCAGUGAAAUGCGUAGAGAUCAUGAGGAAGACCAGUGGCGAAGGCGGGGUCUCUGGACAGUUCCCUGACACUGAGACACGAAGGCCAGGG
rnacentral:rRNA from 1 species